GGGGGGAGCGCCAGAUCCUGGGCUGUGUCCCCGGCGCCCUGUGCUCCCGGGCCUGCACUGUUGGAAUCAUGCUCCUGGCUGGGCAGCCCCCU
rnacentral:pre_miRNA from 1 species